AGGAGGUUGACCAACGCAAACCGCUCCUGAUCCGCCCCCAUCGUAACCUCACCUGUUAAACAGGUUUAAUAAAGGAUAUUCAAAGUCCGACAGAUUCGCCUGCCGUUCCGAAAGUCCACCUGAUUCAAGAUCUAUUCUGUUCUGCAGUCGCGAAAAUUUCGGCUUCAGGCGGCAUUCUGGGAAACCCAUGACGUGGAAUUUUCUGAGAUGGUGAUGACUCACGGAGUGCAAAACAAAUCAAACUUCAUAGACGACAGGUCUACCUGUACGCACUUUUGCUGUAGGUCUUGCCUUAAAAGGACAUGGCUGCUCUUUACACUAGUCUGCAGGCACAGACCCUGAUUGAAACUUUGAUCAGCAAGUGUGUCUCCACGCAAAGACUAUCACAAACAAAACUUGCUGUUCCCGCGCGGGAGGGCCUUCAGUAGACAAGGCAUGAGUAGGCUGUAGAUUCAGACCCUUAACUCGAGUGAAGGGUUUGCCCAGCAGACUAGCUCUUUACCGCGAGUAUCGGUUUGUAAUGCGACCCUCCAGCUAAACCACAUUCGGCUGUAAAAAAGGUAUAUGCCAGUAGAUCAUCCAAGUCAACCAAGCCCUAGAAGCUCAGGCUACAUGAUGUCAUAGUGACUCCCUCAAGCCCAUGAGCAAGAGAGCUUUGAUGAUGACCAUCACCAUAACCCCUGAUCAUGUCGGCACUAGCGUAGCGAGCAGGCCACGGAGCGCCGUGAGAGAUUACGGAGUUUUCAUCAACCCUUAUAAGGUAUCAUCAGGGGAGCUUUUCAUCAAUAUUUUCAUCCGACAAGUUGUCAGAUCUGACAU